UCUUUUCCUUUUGUGCCCGCCGCCGCGGUAAUACGGAGGAUGCGAGCGUUAUCCGGAUUUAUUGGGUUUAAAGGGAGCGCAGGCUGCGAGGCAAGUCAGCGGUCAAAUGUCGGGGCUCAACCCCGGCCUGCCGUUGAAACUGUCUUGCUAGAGUUCGAGUGAGGUAUGCGGAAUGCGUUGUGUAGCGGUGAAAUGCAUAGAUAUGACGCAGAACUCCGAUUGCGAAGGCAGCAUACCAACUCGCGACUGACGCUGAGGCUCGAAAGCGUGGGUAUCGAACAGG
rnacentral:rRNA from 1 species